UAACGACUAUCGCAAAAGGCCUACAUCGGCUGCAAGCUCCAAGAACCAGGUAAAUUUAGUCAAUUCUUAAUAACUAAUACAAAUUUAUUUGCCUUCAGCCAUGCAGAUAUGCUGGGAAUCUCCAAGAAGAUUGCCAUACACAAAUUAAUCGUUGAUCUUUUCUAAUCCCCGAUAAGGCUACAUAUCAAAGAUUGGUCACGAGUAUGUUCAAAGAUCAGCUUGGCAAGACCAUGGAAGUAUAUAUCAAUGACAUGUUGGCCAAG
rnacentral:lncRNA from 1 species